GAUGAACGCUGGCGGCGUGCCUAAUACAUGCAAGUCGAGCGAACAGACGAGGAGCUUGCUCCUCUGACGUUAGCGGCGGACGGGUGAGUAACACGUGGAUAACCUACCUAUAAGACUGGGAUAACUUCGGGAAACCGGAGCUAAUACCGGAUAAUAUAUUGAACCGCAUGGUUCAAUAGUGAAAGACGGUUUUGCUGUCACUUAUAGAUGGAUCCGCGCCGCAUUAGCUAGUUGGUAAGGUAACGGCUUACCAAGGCAACGAUGCGUAGCCGACCUGAGAGGGUGAUCGGCCACACUGGAACUGAGACACGGUCCAGACUCCUACGGGAGGCAGCAGUAGGGAAUCUUCCGCAAUGGGCGAAAGCCUGACGGAGCAACGCCGCGUGAGUGAUGAAGGUCUUCGGGUCGUAAAACUCUGUUAUUAGGGAAGAACGAAUGUGUAAGUAACUAUGCACGUCUUGACAGUACCUAAUCAGAAAGCCACGGCUAACUACGUG
rnacentral:rRNA from 1 species